ensembl:miRNA
GGGAUUUUGUCAGUCAGGCUCCUGGCUGGAGACCAGCUCACAGCUGGUUCCUGGUUCUAGCCAGGACCUGACUAUAACCUACUAGU